GUGGUAGUUGUGUUAAUAGCUUUGCUGUUUCCCUGCCAGAGUCUACCCAAGGACUUUCACAUGGGCUGUUUCACAAACAUUGAACAAUAAAUGAUUUUUUGAAGGAUCAGAUGUAACAGAUUUUGGAUUGCCGUUGAUAAAUGCACCAGCUGCGAUAGCAGCCGGGACCAGUGCGGAGAUCUUCUUUCCUACUGCCGUUGCCUCAUGUUAAGGUUUUAAUUUGCCAGGAUCCUGAAAUCCUUCUGUGCAGGGCUGCAGAUAUAGGUGUGAUGUGGAAAUAUUUGCAUUUUUCAGGCAGCAUUAAUUAGCUCUGACGGUCUCUGGAGGAACUUGAGAAGUGUGGAGGUUGGAAAUGAAUCAGUUAUGCAUCAGCCACAUUUUAUACUCUUGUCCUGAGACUAAAGCAGUUAUGGUCUGGGCUCCUGGUUCCAGAACUACAGAUGGCAGACAGAAAGCUGUGUGAGGAAGCCUGAAUUGCAAUGCCUGGUAACUGAUUUUGUUACAUUUGGAAGACCUUGAUAGAGGUCUAAAAGCUCGUUUGACGGCAAUGAGACUAGGUGAUAUAUUCCCUAAGGUACAACAGAGAAGACAUUUUUCAACAUGCCACAACAGUAAGUAACUAGGCAAAGUCUGAAUUUUGCCACUGGUGCACGGUUCAUGUACAACUUUUUCUCCUUUCCAGAAAACUCUUUCUCUGGGCUAACCUCAAGAUGCAGGGACUUCAAUCUCUAUUGUAGUUGGUGUACUGCUUCAUAACUGCAUAGUGAGAAACUGAAAUUCUUUUACUUUAUUUCCACUGCAUUAAAUGUCAUAUUUGAUUAGAGAAUGGAAACAGCUGACUUCUGAUCUCCAGUGAGCCAUUCCUUUUUGAUAAUUUAUUUUUCAUGUUAAACAGUCCUUUUUAGUGCAUAAGGAACGAAAAGAGCCGGAGGAAGCAAGCCCCUUAUCUUCUUUUUAAAAUCAAGUGCUUCUCAACAGUUCUGCACAGAAACUUAUUACAUUCACCAUUCUUUAUUUUUUCCACUUGGCUGUAGUGGAAUUGACAUUGAGGCACGUAUGGACUGAAUAGGGAGAAGAAGGAAAACCAGAUUUGCUGCUCAACUCUCUAUUUCCAUUUCAAUUUAUCACAUUGUUUUUACUCGUUCUAGCACAAGCAAAGCUGGGACUGCUAAUUGAUUAUUGUCAAAGGUUUAAUAUUUUCUAAACCCACUGUUAUUAGACAGAUCUAUUAUCCUUGUGGUAGAGAAAUACAUGCUCUAAAUUGUUGGUAGUCUUUAUUAAAUGUGAU
rnacentral:lncRNA from 1 species